rnacentral:rRNA from 1 species
UACGGAGGGGGCCAGCGUUGUUCGGAAUUAUUGGGCGUAAAGCGCGCGCAGGUGGUUCCUUAAGUCUGAUGUGAAAGCCCACGGCUCAACCGUGGAGGGUCAUUGGAAACUGGGGAACUUGAGUGCAGAAGAGGAAAGUGGAAUUCCAAGUGUAGCGGUGAAAUGCGUAGAGACUUGGAGGAACACCAGUGGCGAAGGCGACUUUCUGGUCUGUAACUGACACUGAGGCGCGAAAGCGUGGGGAGCAAACAGG